AUCCGCACGGGAUAAUAGAUUAUCCCGUGCGGACGUGUUAAGCCAACCGCACGGGAAGGACUAUUUUUUCGUGCGGUU
rnacentral:pre_miRNA from 11 species